rfam:Medicago truncatula strain A17 chromosome 2, whole genome shotgun sequence.
AAACAGCCCUUAUAUAUUGGAUCUUUGGCAGUUUUAGCCCCCAAUGCCACUUUUGAUUUAGUAUUCGCUGAGGUGACACCCACAAUGGUCGACACGUGGCACCUCACUUAAAGAAUGUGGGUGCCACGUCAGCGAAGACUAAGUCAAAAGUAGCAUUCGGGGCCAAAACUGCCAAAGAUCCAAUACAUAGAGGAUUGUUU